UAGAGGCACUGCCUGCCCAGUGACAUUAGUUAAACGGCCGCGGUAUCCUGACCGUGCAAAGGUAGCAUAAUCAUUUGUUCCUUAAUUAGGGACUUGUAUGAACGGCCCCACGAGGGUUUAACUGUCUCUUACUUUCAAUCAGUGAAAUUGACCUUCCCGUGAAGAGGCGGGAAUGCAAAAAUARGACGAGAAGACCCUAUGGAGCUUAAAUCUACAUGUUCAAUAAAAUUUAAAUUCCACCCAACAGGAAAUAACUACAAUUUAACUGAACAACAGAUUUUGGUUGGGGUGACCUCGGAGUAUAGUUCAACCUCCGAGUGAUUUUAACCAAGACUUACCCGUCAAGGUUGCAUAACUUAUUGAUCCAAUAAUAUUGAUCAACGAAACAAGUUACCCUAGGGAUAACAGCGCAAUCCUAUUUAAGAGUUCAUAUCGACAAUAGGGUUUACGACCUCGAUGUUGGAUSAGGACACCCAAAUGGUGCANNNGCUAUUAAAGGUUCGUUU
rnacentral:rRNA from 1 species